GCAUUACACAUGCACUCAGCUAAUUACGGGAAAAACAAUCCUUCUCUGCUUCUGCCAAGAAUUGCUGCAAUGAGGACAAACCUAUAAAAGGAGGAAGAGGGAGACAGACAGACCCAGAUUUACUGGCAGCAGAGACCGUACUCAGACAAUCAUCACCAUGGAAAUAACACAUCUUUUUCUCUUUCAGUUCUCAUCUUUUUAAGCAUUCAGACUGUAAAUUCCCUGAAAUGUAUAACUUGCAAAGACGCCAAUUGUGAUAAUUAUAGAGAGGUAACUUGCCCUGAUACCUCAGGAGGAGCUGCAUGCGAAUCUGUUUCCUACGAGACAAGUGAUGGUAAACGUGUAUCAAAAGGUUGUUCUUCCUCAAUGGAUUCGUGUCAAAUGCAACCUCCUAAUGUACCCCAUGAUGCUUAUAUAAACUGCUGUCAAACAGAUCUCUGCAACUCCGCCAUUACCACUAAGAUGUCCCUGCUCCUUGCCGGCUUCUUGGUCCUGAUGUCUCUGUGUGUCUCCAGGUUUUGAUCGGGUCCUUGACGCUCUGCUGAGACCAACGACAUGGCUUGGCCAGCGUAUACUAUGCACGGCAUCUCGCUUACCGAGGGCACAUAUAUCAGCCAUUUCUAUUUGUAUUAUGGACGCCUUUGC